CCACGGGUUAGGCAAACCUGGCGAAAGCCAGGGGCGCUAAAGCUAUGGGUCUAAGGCUUUAACAAAUAAAGCUACGAUUGCCAGGCUAUAACG
rnacentral:ncRNA from 1 species